rfam:Calypte anna contig43265, whole genome shotgun sequence.
CCAACGGCUCUUUUCAGAGCCACCCAUUUUUUCCUGAAAAGAGCUG